GACGAACGCUGGCGGCGUGCUUAACACAUGCAAGUCGAACGGUGAAGCGCCUUCCUUUUUGGGUGGUGUGGAGGAGAGGCGAACGGGAGAGUAACACGUGAGUAACCUGCCCCCUUCGUCAGGAUAACCGAAUGAAAGCGUGGCUAAUACGGGAUAUCCUGGGUCUGGCGCAUGGUGGGUCUGGGAAAGAUAUUGUUUCGGGGGGGGCUGGGCUUGCGGGCUAUCAGCGUGUUGGUGGGGUGAUGGCCUACGACGGCGUGGGCGGGUAGCCGGCCUGAGAGGGUGGGCGGCACCGCUGGGACUGCGACGGGGGGCAGCAGCGGGCGGUAGUGCACAGUGGGGGAAAGCCUGAUGCGGCGGCGCCGCGGGUGGGAUGGAGCCCUGCGGGUUGUGAAGGUCUUUCGGCAGUGAAGCAGUCCUGCCUGGUAUGUGGGUGGGUUGACGGUAGCUGGAUAAGAAGCGCCGGCUAACUACGUG
rnacentral:rRNA from 1 species